rnacentral:rRNA from 1 species
UACGGGGGGGGCGAGCGUUGUUCGGAAUCACUGGGCGUAAAGGGCGCGUAGGCGGCCCGCACAAGUCUGCGGUGAAAACCCCCGGCUUAACCGGGGGCCGGCCGUGGAAACUGUCGGGCUGGAGGCUGGGAGAGGGCAGCGGAAUUCCCGGUGUAGCGGUGAAAUGCGUAGAUGUCGGGAGGAAUACCAGUGGCGAAGGCGGCUUCUUGGCCUGUUCUUGACGCUGAGGCGCGAAAGCUGGGGGAGCAAACGGG